UAUAUUUUCCUUUAAUUUUUAUGAUCUGUAAAUAAUGGAUGCAUUUUCAGGAUUAUCUGGUCUUUACAAGUCAAAUAUCUGAGCCCAGAACUUUUACUAGAAUUGUUUCUUGAAAACUGUCUAUAUUUUUAUUUAAUUUAUUCUGUUUAAGCCUUCUCUAUUUAAUUGGGUCAAUUUUUUACAAAUCCAAGCCCUAGGACUUUCUCCAGUUCUUCAAAGACUUCAAAUUCAUUUUUAUAGAGGCUUGCAAAAUAUUCUCUUCAAUUGUUAUAUUCCUUCUAUUUAAAUGGUUAUUUUUUUCUUUAUGAGUUCCUAUGUUUUAUCUUUAUGACUACCCUUUAAUUUUUUGUUUACUUUUAUUUAAGGUCUGGAAGUACAUGUGAAAGUUCGUUACAUAGGUAAACAUAUGGCAUGAGGAUUUGUUGUGUAUAUUACACCAUCACUCAGGCAACCAACUGAGGUCAAAAUCUGCAGUCGUCUGGGGCACUUCUGUUUUUCCCACAACCCUCAUUGAAUCGAGGCACUGUGUACAUCACGAGAAUGCAUAUGAUACAUGCCCAUGACUUUGAAGAACUGGCAAUCAAGUUGAAAACAGUGAGGUGACUUUGACUUCUGACUGAUAAUGAGCUAGAGUGAGUGGGCAGGGGCUGACUUUGCUUACGAUAAUUCCUGCUAAAGAGGCUAGGCAAAUGGGGAUCAAACCUGGCGUCUGCCCACUGGUGACUGCAUUCUUUCUUAGAUGGCUUCCUGUAGAUGCUCCUAGGGUAUACUUCUAGGUAAACAUAUUUACAGCUUUUUGACUCCUGUAAAGCCUGUUGAGGAGUAGACUGUCAAUACGUCAUUUCUCACUGGUUGCUUUUAAGAUCUUCUCUGCAUUUUUUCUGUUCUACAGUUUCAUUAUGAUAGAUUUAAAUAUGCCACAUUUGUCAACUCUGUGUAUAUGGAUUCCAGAAUAUUUAUUCUAAUAUGUCUUAUAAUCCCUAAUUGUUUAUUUAGCUAUGUCUGAUUUACUGAUUAGGCCACCAAGUUUCUAAUUUUAGAAACUACAUCAAUCACCUCUAGAAAUUCUAUUUGAUGCUUGCUCAAAUUCAUCUUCUUUUUGUUAAUUGUAGUUGUUAGUAGUUUGGGUUUUUGAGCCUUCAGUUUUUUCUUCAAUAAUUUUAAACAUACUUAAGUUAUUGUCAAUAUCUGAUAAUUAUACUAUGUAAAAUGAUCAGGAACCCGAUAUUCCUAUUUAGUCUAUAGACCGUCAAACACAGUAGAUUCUUUCCUACUACGUUUUUGUAAUUUAGGAUUUUAGGUUUAGAAUUUCUGGUGAUACAACCAUCACAGUAGCACUUUUUACAUAUGUUUACUAGUUCAUAAGGAGGCAGGUAAGUAGUGUGAAUUUUGCCUCGAACCUAUGGAACAAGAAGACUGUAAUUAUGAUUUGCUAUGCAACGGUCUUUUGUUGUUAUUUUCUUAUCUAGAUCCUAAAUUUAAAUAUGGAAUUUUUCUUCUCAUCUCUUUCUGUAUGAGUUUUCCAUAUUUAUCCAUUCUCUUUGUGUUUACAUUUUUAGUGUUCUUGAUCAUUUUCAUGGGCCAAUAAAUUCUAUCCUGCUCGGUUGAAUAUAAAUGCUUUUAAGUGCAAGCCUCUUGGUUAUUAAAUCCUACAACCUCACCUCUCUUGUUCCCUUCUCCCCAGCUCUACCAGGUGAAUAAAAGCAUCAGCACCACAUAACAUCUCUGAUAUUGUAUUUCGCCUCCAUUUGUUUUAACUAAGAAAACUGGCAUUUAUUUAAUGGCCCUAACAUAGUUUGGAACUGUCUUUCCUAUCUAUGUUUUUUAAAAUUUAAUUUAAUUUAAGUUCUGGGAUACAUGUGCAGGACGUGCAGGUUUGUUACAUAGGUAAACACAUGCCAUGGUGGUUUGAAUCUCUCACUUUUCUUUGAAGUCGGUAUGAAUUUAAAAUUUUUUGUAUGUAUUCAUUAUACUUGGAUGUAUUCAGGCAGCAUAUUUUCGUGUUACCUGCCUUUCAAUGUUGCUACGUCAUAAUGUAUAUUUUAUUUAAAAGCAUACCUAAUCUUACAUAUCUAUAAAGCAAAAUUGUUGAAAUUAUUUUCUUCUCAAUAAUUAUCCCAGUCAUGGUGUAUAAUAGAGGCUCAAUAUAUAAACACAGAUUGAAUGAAUAUGUGAGGGGUGCACUUCUUCCCAGCUGUUGACAUAGUCCUCUUUUUCAGUGGUACUAUAAAACUAUAAUACUGACUCCUACGACAAAGAAGAUAACCUCGGAAAGGGAGGUGAACUGGAUUCAGGGAGCCUCGUGGAAUACAGCGAAGGUCAAUGAACAUCAGCAACUUUAUCAGCUGAGCAUCAGUCAGUCAGCAAAAGUGACCAAUAAAGCAAACUUUGAAACAUAACCAAGCCCCACCCCAGAUAAAAAGCCCGUGGCAUAUCCCUAUUGACUGUCAGACAGAAUACAUUCUUUCUGGAAAGAUACAUAUUUCCUGCCACAUUUCCUGCCAAUGUUUUGCUUCAUGCCCAAGGUAGCCUAGUCAUCCUUGUUUUUGAUUACGCAGUUCACACAUAGGUAAUAACUUAUUUUUCCUUGUGCCUUUAUAUUCAUAGAUUUGCAAAUGUUACUCAACCGUUUCCUUUACUCUUUUAGCUAGAAUAACAAACUUUUUUAAUUAUUGAAAGUAUUUAAAGUAUUUCUGUUGACUGUUUUCAUUUACUCUCCAUGUUUCUCAAUAAAUACUAGUGGGACUUGUAGAUUCUUCUACAACUAAAGUCUUAACCAUGACUAAAUAUGUUUGGGAUAGAAAUUGUAAAAAUUACUUUCAUAGGAUAUGAUAGCUUCUAAUUGCUCUAAUAUGUUCUAUAUUAUUGCAUGAAUAUAUUUGGGAAUCAAUUAAGUUUAGACAUAAAAAUAGUUUUAAAAUUUAUUUACUAUUUAGAAGCCUGAAAACAUAGUACACAGAAACAUAAUAUCAAAUGAUUCUUUAUCUUAUGAAAAACUACUCAAUCUGGCUCAAAAUAACAUAAAUGCUGACUAAACUACACUGUAAUACUAUUUCUCAUAUAUUGAAUAAAAAGUUAAAAAUCAUUCUCUGUUGGUAAAUCUAUAAAAUAAAUAGGCAUUCGGACAUCAUAGCUAGUGGAAAUACAAAAUGAUACAACUUCUGUGAAAGGGAAUUUGGAAAAUUCUCUAUUCUAAGUAUAUGAUGAGAAUUUACUCUUAGUUUCAGAAAUAUAAAUUCUAGGGUUCUAUUCCUAAGAUUCUGUGGCAAAACCACAAAAUACUAAAAUGACAUAUACACAAGAUUAUUUUUAUUGUAGCAUGUUAGUAAUAAUAAGAAACUAGAAAUAGGCCUUUUGUCAACUGUAGGACACUAGUUGAAUAAAGUAUGGUAGACACACCUGAUAAAUUAACAAAAAAUAAGAAAGAUUAACUAUCUCUAGGAUACACUGUAAGAUUUUUUAAAAACCAAGCC